ACACAGUAGGGCAGCGAUGGCUGAGUUGGAGGUGCUGAGGGUGUAUCUACGAUGAAGAACAAGAUGACAAACAAGAUGCACUCAGACUAAAGAUUUGCAUCAAAAUAAGUUUUGUGAUGUAAACUCAGAACAUAAUUCCUAUAGUAAAGACAUUGCAAGUCAAGCAACAGUUUGUCGAGUUUUACUCAACAUAAUGGAACAAUUUUAUAUCUUGCAUCUCCAUUUUUAAUUAAAGAACGUGCUGCAUCAUAAUCGACACAAUCAAAGGUCACAGCAGUGCCUCUUAAACAUAAUGACAGAGUGUCCGCUUUAACUAAUUGGAUCAUUAUCCUAAUGUCAAGCUGCAUAGUGGAAAGUUGCAAGGCUAAAACAGGUCACAUCUGAGAGUGUUUAGUAACAGAGGUAAGGAAUGUCGCUCUUCAGUUAAUGACUGUAUUUGUAGUUUUAAUGUAUUCAAGCUUACAAUUGAACCUGUGAUUCAACAGUGGAUCUUCGCAGCUGUUUGAGGAAGAGAGUCAUGGAAGACCGACACCAAUUCGGCGAUCAAUGCAACACUAUCCUUUGCGAUGAAAGAUUUUGACAAGAAAAAAUAAAUGCACCUCUUCAGUGGUAGGACUUGAGGAGUUGUUGCAGAUUUUAUUGAGUAGUUUGCUAAGUUAAAGCACGUCAGUUUAAAAGUGCAGUAUUGUAGUUUAAAACGGGAAAUUUUCCAUAACCGUUGCUCGACAUCUUCGACAUUAUUCUUUCAAACCUGCAACUAAAAGUAUUCGGCACUUUGACUUUUGGCUGAACAUACAAACUUUUUAUCAAAGAAAUAAAAACAGAUACACAUAAAAGAUGGUAAGUAAGUGGCACCGGACAAUUUUCACCUUGAUCAUCCCGGGCCAGUGACUGAUCAAUUGUAAAAUAAAAAAAUAAAAAAUUCUGAAUGUUUUCUGAGCAGUGAACACACCACACCUAAUCAGGCUGCAUUAACCCCACUCUUCAGUGUGGAUGUCGCUACUGGGACAAUGAAAUGUUAACAAGGUUCUUAAAACUGAAAUCAGAUGAAGCACAAAUGUGCUUCAAGAAUUUGAAAUUAAACUUCACUUUCAAUGAGAAAUUGAGGAAAUGGUUGUACAGGCUGCAAAAGAGUAAGAGAGAGCAAGACUUUUAAAAACAGGUAAUAUAAAGGCAUAAAUUCAAGUCAAAUUGCUAUGUUUUGUUCUUUCAAUCUUAACUUUGUAUGGAACAUGCUGGGUUUGAAAAUGUUGGCGGACAUUUUGAAAUUUUGGAUUUAAGAUAGGGGUCUACAUUUUCUUGUUAAUACAUGCCAACUCCAUAAUCAAAAUAUCAGAUAUCGAAAAUCGGUCAGAAAAUUCAAGAUGUUAUACUUCUAUUUUGCAAAUGACGAUGCAGUCGUGUAUUUCUUUACUUGCCCUUGUGACAAAAUACUGUCAAAGUGAUUAUAAAAAAAGAAUGUUUCCGACCCUAUCCUUAGGGUUUAUUUUAUUUGUCAAGUUUUUUGCUCUCUUUAAACCACCUCAGCUUCUGCCCAAACUUGGAAAAGCUUGCUUCCCUCAAAAAAACGCAGGAACCACUCAUCUCAGAGACAUCUUUUAUUUAUCUUUUGUCUUUAGAUUAUUCCAAUUGACAGUGCAAGACCACCAUGACUUCGCACGGAGUAGUCAAAGUAGUCACAUAGAAGUCACAGAGCAGGUUGAAAACCUACAAACAAAUGAAACAAAAUCAAUUACAGAUCACAAUGACCUAAUUAACUAGUUUUCCAGGUAAUGUUAACAACCUACUUUUAAGUUAACAGUGAAUGAACAAAUAAAUAAACUACAUUCUAAACACAUAAAACCCAUUUCAUCAACAAGGCUGAUUUGGUCUUCUGAAUGCAGAUUAAAUGAUAUAAUGUCCAGUUCCUACCAGAGUGUCUUUGUGGAAGCUUGAAGCUGAGGCUCUUUGUCUGCAGAGAUCAUUGUGAGCACAGGUGUGUCAAGUUACCUGACAGACUUCAGAUAGGCCUGAGUGAAAGGGAUGGGUGCGCUUGAUUCUCUCUGAUGUGUGUGCCAGUUGGGUGGAGAUAGUAAAUGCACUCAAGUGUACCAUUUGCUGUUUUAACUUGACAUUGUUAAAUAAAACACUUCCAGGGGUGACUGCAAGUCUGGACACCAUGCAUGACUUUUUGGUGAAAAAGGAACCAAUUUUAACUUUAGUUUCCUCUUAAAACUAAAUAACAGGAAGAGAAAUUUACUGAGCAAACAGAGACAAAGUGAGCGGAAGAGGGGAAAACAGCGCUGAAAACAUGCAAGAUAAGCAAUGAAAAACAGGUGAGAAAAAUGAAUGAGAGGAGUGCACGAGGCACAUCUGAAUAGGAAAGUCUGAUGCAAAUAAGCGAGUGGCUGAAUGGUAGAUAAGCAGAGGGAAACUGAUGGGGUGUAAGAAUGAUAUCACUCCAGUUUUGACCCUUUCACUUCUGCAAAUCCACAAUGAACCAGACCUCAGUGCAUGGCAUUCAAGCCUGCACUCCCUGCAACUCCGUGGCCCAACAUCUACAAUGAAGUAGGGGCAGAAUAAAUCAAAAGGUCCAUCAGAUUAUGACUCUUGUUUGCAUUUGCAGCAUCUAAUGACAGAGUGUGAGCUGUUGUUUCUGUUAGAAACACGCAGGGCGAGGUCAGCAGUUUGAGGAACCUCGUUAGGGUGUGUGUGAGUUUUCUGUGUACACCAGUCAUUCAAUAAGCUCAAAAUAAUACUUGCAGCAGGUCUGUGUAUUUCUGCACCAGUCACACACAAUGAGUGCAUGAGGUCUACCUGAUGCUUUCCAAAAGCAGGAGAUGUAAAUCUAGUGGGUGACUUUUGAUUUGAAAACCUCACGAGGAGAGACCUAUUGUCUUCAUUUUUCCAUUCUUUGGCGACUUAAUUAUACUCUGCAUGCCCCUUGUAGCAGGAUGUAUAAGUUAGUGAAUGCCAAGAAGAGAAAAUGUGAUCAAAGUCUUUAACUAUUAUAGUAGGGAUUGUUACUCCACUGCUGAUCUCAUGACAGCACAAAUAAAGAUUAGUAUAGUCGAAAAUACUAAUAAAUGCAAUUAUUGCAUGUUAAUCAGAAUGGGCACCGAGACAAAAUGACUGCCAGUUUUCUAAAUCUGUUAUGGAGCACCUUCACUGCCAGGUGUUUUAGAUCAAAUAUGAGGAUUAUUACCAUCAACGGCCACAAAUUUCUAAUGAUUAAAGCGUAUGCAACCUUCAUGUAAAAGCUGACAAGUUUUUAAAAAAUUCCAAAGUGGGCGGAGCCAAAAUACAGGCUCAAGUGUCUGGAUGAGCUGAGGGGGUUAAGUGCACAUGUGGUCAGGAUGACGGAAAGCACCGUUUCUAACUUAGCAGUUCUAUGGCAAUAUUUAGACGCUCCUUUUGGAAAAAGAAAAAAAAAAUUACCAGCUACAAACCUAACAACAUUGUUUGUGUUCCUGGAGUCUUUGGUGUCAACAUGUGAAAGCACCAUUCGUUCUGCAGCAACUGCUCUGAGCAAGAAUCAAGUGCUGCUGUAAGCCUCUCCCACUUCCUAGGUUCUGUAGUCAGACAUUGUCCACUUUUCAAAUGAGUCACGCAUGUGCAAAGCAGAAAAAUGCUAUUGAAUCGACACUCGCCACCUUCACAAUUCCAACUGCUGACUUGCAACGGGGGUGUGUGUCUGAGUGGGACGGUUUUAUACCCGAACACAGGUGAUGUAGACAUCAACAAAACUGUUCAGGUCGUAAGCAACAGGAAAAUUCAACUGCGGCAACCACGGCUCAACCCAAAGAGGACAGCACUAAGAUGGUUGUAGGCCAAAUAUUACAGGGUUAAACAUGUUUACAUGAAAAUGUCUCAAAUUGUAUAUUAGUAAAUAGGGGUGCACUGAUCACCGAUUAAAAAAAAAAAAGAAAAAAAGCCUUACCUGCCAAUUCCCGAUACCAAUUUUUUUUCUGUAUGAAAUAUUUCUCAAAAUAGGAAAAAAGCUGCAAAGUUAGCAACAGAGGGGUAAUUAUUGUUGAAGGUAAACGUGGAGACAUGACUUGGUAGGCCAUCAGUACAACCUUUCUCACGGGAGAGCAGAAGAGAACACUGUUUGGUGUUUAGACCUUCCUUUACAGAGGUAGAUAAAUCGGCUUCACAUGUAAGAUUCAGCCGAUCACCGAUUUCCCAAAAUUAAGAAAAUCGGCACUGAUAAAUCGGCACCAAUAAAUCGGCGCACCCUUUAUGGAUCAAUCUGUUUAUCUGCAAAAUAAAAGUAGACGUAGGGUUUAAGUACUCUGAACAUUUUAGGAACAUGCAUAUUGAAGGGCCAUUUACACCCCCACUGAUCUUUUCAUAUCAGCCGAGUCCCCUCUAAGACGGACUGUAAAUGCAGCAGAAGAUAAAUCUGAGUAAUAAGAAAAACAAAUGUAAAAUUGCCAGCAAUUCUCUUUCCAGCAGCUGCCCAAAGCUUGCAGAUGAGGCUGCAGAGGAUUCUCUGGUGGCUCCCUCUGCAGACAACGCAUUGCAGGGGUGGCUUAGUGGAGGGCCAUGAAAUCUGAAACCGAAGUCGCAGAGAAAGCCACACGGUGGUUGUUGUGUGGGUUCCAACUGGGACACAAGUCGAGGUCAGAGCUGGGUCCUCUGGAUGAUGUUGAGACCCGAAACAUCCAUCGUCCCCAGGUUUGCACGAUGAUGCAAGAGGUAUCACCAAAUCUAACAAACCUGAGUUCUUUGCAGAAUCGCUGCUUUUAUUAUAAGAAUAACGGUUUACUGGUUAGAUUAUUGAAGUCAAUCGGGUACAGAUGAUUAUUCAUGGGUUUCAGAUAAGAAAAUCUGUAGAAAGGAAAAUGUCUUGAAAUAUUCCUUUCUACAGAUUUUCAAGUGUUGUGUGCUUUCACAUGGGAAAGCACAUUUGAUGCUUGUUGACGCAAAUCAUUAAUCAUUAAUAUAGUUUUA